rnacentral:lncRNA from 1 species
AUGGAGAUAUGUCAGUUGGUGUGCACUGACCGUGCUUAUGAAGAGCUCAUUCUUCUAUCAUACAAGAUGAAUUAUUUGUUUGAAUCUCUCACUUUGAUUCUUUUCACAUGGGGUCAUUCAGGCUUUCAGGGCAACCAUAGAUUCAGAAUUGUCCUUUUGGAGACCCAGCAACAGAAAAGCACAUCUUCUUUGACUGUGACAUUGGAGGGCUCGGGGAAAUGGAAAUGUACACCAGAUGAACCUAAAAGCUUAGAUCAAUAAGCGCUACAAUGCUUAAGAAGAAUCUUUAAACUGAGCCUUAACCUUACUGUGAUAUGUCCUAGAAAAAACACUGUUUCUGUUAGCAAGCUUGUUUUUAUGCUUCUCUUAAAUUGCUUUUUGUAUACCAAGGUGUAUGUUGCUAUAGGUAACUGUUAACAGGAAUACUUUGAGGUCAUAGGUAUAUUAUUAACUGGACAACACCAGUACACUUUUUUUUUUUUUUCAGUCUGCUUGCAGAACAGAUGCAGUCUUAGCAUUUAUAAAUGGCAGCUUGUAGUUAUAAGAGUCCAUAAAGACAAAUAACUUGUAUUGCCUUCUUAGAUUUUCAAUCCUCUUAUAAUGGAAAUAAGGUUUUGUCUUCUAGUGAAUACAAUUGUCACACAGUAAUUGAGUCCCAGAAAAAAAUCAUUAUACAUAUUUAUUAAAAAUGGUACUGUUUCAUUUAUCUUGUGAAACACUCAGUUCUUUCUGAUACCUUCCAGAACAUGUAGCUGUCUGCAAAGCAGACAUCAGUCGAUGUGAAUUCACAACGGGAAGUGCUAAUGCCCAGGUAGCAGAGGCUUAGGAGGCAAGGGUGUCCAGGUCAGGUGCUUGUCUGUGAGAAGUGCCAAAGCCAACAAAUACACUCUUGAAUCUUGUGGGGUCGAUGUUGUUACUGUGCCUGCUGCAGUUUGGAUAUCUGCAUGUAUAAAAAGAUGGGCUAAGCAGGCAGCAGUAGUGGUGGAAGGAGCCUUGUGAGUAAGAAAAAGAAUAUGGAUGGACAUGGCUGUGUGCUGGAAAGAAUACAGCCUGUAGGAGACAUUCAGGCUAUUUGCCUAGAGCACUCUAAUGUCUUGCUAUAAUUAGGAGCAAAUGACUGGAUGAGGAUCAAAUGAAAAGAGGAACUGAUGAUCACCC